GAUGAACGCUAGCUACAGGCUUAACACAUGCAAGUCGAGGGGAAACGACAUCGAAAGCUUGCUUUUGAUGGGCGUCGACCGGCGCACGGGUGAGUAACGCGUAUCCAACCUGCCCACCACUUGGGGAUAACCUUGCGAAAGUAAGACUAAUACCCAAUGAUAUCCCACGAAGGCAUCCGAAUGGGAUUAAAGAUUUAUCGGUGAUGGAUGGGGAUGCGUCUGAUUAGCUUGUCGGCGGGGUAACGGCCCACCAAGGCAACGAUCAGUAGGGGUUCUGAGAGGAAGGUCCCCCCACAUUGGAACUGAGACACGGUCCAAACUCCUACGGGAGGCAGCAGUGAGGAAUAUUGGUCAAUGGGGCGAGAGCCUGAACCAGCCAAGUAGCGUGCAGGAUGACGGCCCUAUGGGUUGUAAACUGCUUUUAUAAGGGAAUAAAGUGGGUCACGUGUGACUUUUUGCAUGUACCUUAUGAAUAAGGACCGGCUAAUUCCGUGCCAGCAGCCG
rnacentral:rRNA from 1 species